rnacentral:tRNA from 1 species
AAAGGGAGACCUAAUUCAGGUAAAAGACGAAAAAAAAGUAGUCGCUACCAAGAAUCAAUCCCAAAAGGUCGGAGCGAGGCAUGAGGCUUUCAAACUAGGUUCUGGGUUCAUAAAAGACCUGAAUCAGGAACAAGGGCUAUUAGCUCAGGUGGUUAGAGCGCACCCCUGAUAAGGGUGAGGUCCCUGGUUCGAGUCCAGGAUGGCCCGCCUGCACAGGUGGCAAAAACAAAGAUAAAGAAGCGAGGAAUCAGCACCUUAUCUUAUCUAUAUAUAAGAGAGAAUGCUGGCUCUGAGUACAGAGUCCAGAGGAACCUUGAAAACUGCAUAGAGCUAGGUGAAAAAGCCAAAAAAGAAGACCGCAAG